AUUGAACGCUGGCGGCAGGCCUAACACAUGCAAGUCGAACGAGUGGCGGACGGGUGAGUAAUGUCUGGGAAACUGCCUGAUGGAGGGGGAUAACUACUGGAAACGGUAUAUAAUACAGCAUACCAUCAGAUGUGCCCAGCUGGGAUUAGCUUGUUGGUGGGGUAAUGGGUCACCUAGGCGACGAUCCCUAGCUGGGCUGAGAGGAUGACCAGCCACACUGGAACUGAGCUACGGGCCAGACUCCUACGGGAGGCAGCAGUGGGGAAGAUUGCACAAUGGGCGCAAGCCUGAUGCAGCCAUGCCGCGUGUGUGAAGAAGGCCUUCGGGUUGUAAAGCACUUUCAGCGAGGAGGCGUUACUCGCAGAAGAAGCACCGGCUAACUCCGUGCCAGCAGCCGCGGUAAUUC
rnacentral:rRNA from 1 species